GAAAGACAAAAUAACUUUUCUGAGCAUUUGGACCAUAAUUUUUAAGCAACAAAAUUAAGCUGGAAAUUAAAUUGAGGUAUGAAUGCUUCCCCUUAUUCAGGUUAUUCAAUUGAUCUUUUCCUUUUCUGGAUUUUAUUUUUGAAUGUUGUUUGAUAAAACUAAUUUGGUUUUGUAGAUUAAGAUUUUUAAGCGAGAAAAUCAAGUUGGAAAUUCAAUUGAAAUUGUAAUGAAUUUGCAAAUUUGUCAAGUAUAUCUUACAUUCGUGGUUCCAUAUUCACUUUACCCAUAACUAUUGAAUUUUGUCUCUUGACUGGAUGGAUUUUUAUAGUUUCCAGGAUCUACAAUUGCAAAUCCUUUGAUGGAUAAAACACAGAGGACCAGCUACGCUUAUAGAGCUUCUUUAGCAUCGUAAGUUAAAAUUGCAUAUCAUUUUUUUGCUUCAUGGAAUUCAUUAUGUUUAAUAGUAUACCAAGUAUGUGAUACCAAUUUUUAUCUUAGCAGUUUCUAACAAUUUGUAAAGUACGAUAAAUGUGUAGAAGUUUGAAUUAUACAUAUGAAAGUUUCAUCUAUUAUACUUUUUAACAAUCAUUCACAAGUAAUGCUAUCCAGAGUAAAAAGGUCAUACCCAGUGCACAAGGCUCCCGCUUUACGCAGGGUCUGGGAGAGGUGAAUGUUGGCUAGCCUUACCCCCAUUUAUGGAGAGGCUGCUCCCAAGUCUCGAACCCGAGACCUACCGCUCAUGGGCGAAGACACUUGCCAUUGCACCAAGUGCGACCUCUAAUGCUAUCCAGAGUGAUUCAAAGAAUUUCAAGAGCUUCAUUCAUCCAAUUUAUGUUCUUCAUGUAAAAAUUCUUUCAAUAAGUUCAAACAUCUUUCGGUAUAGAUAACAUUAACAUUCUGUAACAAUAUAUUAUAGCUUUGAAACAUUUUUCCAUACAAUUUAUAAUCCCGCAGCAACGCGCGGGCAAUUAUUUCUAGUACAUUCAA